rnacentral:lncRNA from 1 species
CUUUUUUUUCAAGUGGUCACUGAACCAUGAAAAUGAGGUCAAGGACAAUGGACAUGUGACUGACAGAAACUUCGUAACAUGAGGCAUCUAUAUACAGAAUAUGAAGCAUCCAGGUCUUCCACCUUCUAAAAUAUAUAGCUUUUAAGAAGUGAGCUAACACCGCCGCCGCCGCCGUAGCCGCCGCCGCCGCCGCCGGAUCACUAUCCCUAUGUCGAGCUUUCUGCAAC